rnacentral:rRNA from 1 species
GAUGAACGCUGGCGGCGUGCCUAAUACAUGCAAGUCGAGCGAACGGACGAGAAGCUUGCUUCUCUGAUGUUAGCGGCGGACGGGUGAGUAACACGUGGAUAACCUACCUAUAAGACUGGGAUAACUUCGGGAAACCGGAGCUAAUACCGGAUAAUAUUUUGAACCGCAUGGUUCAAAAGUGAAAGACGGUCUUGCUGUCACUUAUAGAUGGAUCCGCGCUGCAUUAGCUAGUUGGUAAGGUAACGGCUUACCAAGGCAACGAUGCAUAGCCGACCUGAGAGGGUGAUCGGCCACACUGGAACUGAGACACGGUCCAGACUCCUACGGGAGGCAGCAGUAGGGAAUCUUCCGCAAUGGGCGAAAGCCUGACGGAGCAACGCCGCGUGAGUGAUGAAGGUCUUCGGAUCGUAAAACUCUGUUAUUAGGGAAGAACACAUGUGUAAGUAACUGUGCACAUCUCGACGGUACCUAAUCAGAAAGCCACGGCUAACUACGUG